rnacentral:rRNA from 1 species
UCUGGUUGAUCCUGCCAGUAGUCAUAUGCUUGUCUCAGAGAUUAAGCCAUGCAUGUCUAAGUACAAACCUUCAAACGGUGAAACCGCGAAUGGCUCAUUAAAUCAGCUAUGGUUCCUUGGAUCGUACAUACUACAUGGAUAACUGUAGUAAUUCUAGAGCUAAUACAUGCCACUAUGCCCUGACCCGCAAGGGAACGGGUGGAUUUAUUAGAACAGAACCAACCGGCGGUGACUUCGGUUGCCGUCGUUGCAUUCUGUGAUGACUCUGGAUAACUUUACUGAUCGCAGUCGGCCUUGUGUCGGCGACGGAUCUUUCAAAUGUCUGCCCUAUCAAUUUUCGAUGGUAGGUGACCUGCCUACCAUGGUGAUAACGGGUAACGGGGAAUCAGGGUUCGAUUCCGGAGAGGGAGCCUGAGAAACGGCUACCACUUCCAAGGAAGGCAGCAGGCGCGCAAAUUACCCAAUCCCGGCACGGGGAGGUAGUGACGAAAAAUACGGAUACGGGACUCAUUAGAGGCUCCGUAAUUCGAAUGAGUACAAUUUAAAUCCUUUAACGAGGAUCAACUGGAGGGCAAGUCUGGUGCCAGCAGCCGCGGUAACUCCAGCUCCAGAAGCGUAUAUUAAAGUUGUUGCAGUUAAAAAGCUCGUAGUUGGAUCUGGGUCGCAUGGCUACAUGCCGUUGCUCGUAUUCCUGGCCUGGUUCACACCGGGACGGGUUUGUGAGUCGGUGUCGUGGUUGUGCAGCCUUUCUGCCGUGUCUGUUUCGACAGGUGUUAGCAUGAUUGGUGGGUUCGUCCUGCUGAUCUGUUGACAUGCUUCCAGGUGCCCUUAACCGGGUGUCGGGGGCGGACGGCACGUUUACUUUGAACAAAUUUGAGUGCUCAAAGCAGGCCCGUGUGCCUGAAAAUUCUUGCAUGGAAUAAUGGAAUAGGACUUCGGUUCUAUUUUGUUGGUUUUCGGAUCCGAAGUAAUGGUUAAAAGGGACAGACGGGGGCAUUUGUAUGGCGGUGUUAGAGGUGAAAUUCUUGGAUCACCGCCAGACAAACUACAGCGAAAGCAUUUGCCAAGGAUGUCUUCAUUGAUCUGGAGCGAAAGUCAGAGGUUCGAAGACGAUCAGAUACCGUCCUAGUUCUGACCAUAAACGAUGCCAACUGACGAUCCGUGGUGGCGCGAUUAUUGGCCCCGCGGGCAGCCCCCGGGAAACCUUUAAGUCUUUGGGCUCCGGGGGAAGUAUGGUUGCAAAGCC